CACGUAGGGUGCGAGCGUUGUCCGGAAUUAUUGGGCGUAAAGAGCUCGUAGGCGGUGUGUCGCGUCGGCCGUGAAAACCUGCAGCUUAACUGUGGGCGUGCGGUCGAUACGGGCAUUACUGGAGUUCGGCAGGGGAGACUGGAAUUCCUGGUGUAGCGGUGAAAUGCGCAGAUAUCAGGAGGAACACCGGUGGCGAAGGCGGGUCUCUGGGCCGAUACUGACGCUGAGGAGCGAAAGCGUGGGGAGCGAACAGG
rnacentral:rRNA from 1 species